rnacentral:rRNA from 2 species
UGGGGAAUAUUAGUAAUGGGCGAAAGCCUGAACUAGCAACGCCGCGUGUGCGAAGAAGGCCUUCGGGUUGUAAAGCACUUUUUGAGAGGAUGAGGAAGGACGGUACUCUCAGAAUAAGUCUCGGCUAACUACGUGCCAGCAGCCGCGGUAACACGUAGGAGGCAAACGUUAUCCGGAUUUACUGGGCGUAAAGCGCGUGUAGGUGGUUUGGUAAGUAGGGCGUGAAAGCUCCUGGCUCAACUGGGAGAGGACGUUCUAAACUGCCAAGCUUGAGGAUGGUAGAGGGAGGUGGAAUUCCGGGUGUAGCGGUGGAAUGCGCAGAUAUCCGGAGGAACACCAGUGGCGAAGGCGGCCUCCUGGACCACUCCUGACGCUGAGGAGCGAAAGCAUGGGGAGCGAACAGG